UGCCAGCAGCCGCGGUUACACCAGGAAAUUAAGUCAUAUUUAUCGGUAAAAAGACAGUUAGACAAUAAAAUGGGUCAUAGAAUUUUCAAUGUAGGGGUGCAAUCCGAGCAUUGAUAAAUAAUCUAGUCAUGACUAUUUAGUUGAAUCUGUGAUAGCUUUAAGGGAAACUGGGAUUUGAUACCCCAUUAUUUUUAGCUGUAAAUUCAAUUUUAUGUAAUUUACCAGAGUACUACGAACACAAAGUUUAAAACUCAAAGGGCUUGGCGGUGUUUUAGACCACUCAGGGGAACCUGUCUCAUAAUCGAUGAUCCACGUUAAACCUGACCUUUUUUUGCAUUCAGCUUGUAUACCGUCGUCGUCAGGUAACUUCUAAAAAACUAAAAGUUAGCGAAAUAAUUUAUAAAUUACAAUGUCAGAUCAGGGUGCAGCUUAUAAAAAGGGGAGGAUGGGUUACAAUUAUAAAUCUUAAUUACGGAAGAUGUUUAGAACUAAUCAUCUGAAGGAGGACUUGAAAGUAAUUUUAAAUAUAUAAAUUAUAUGAAUAAGGCUCUGAAAUGUGCACACAUCGCCCGCCACUCU
rnacentral:rRNA from 1 species